rnacentral:rRNA from 1 species
GAUCGACUUAGACUCUAUCAUCAUCGCUUAUGGCUGGCGUAGGACCACGGUCGGAGUCAUUCGCCUGUUUUGUCGGACAGAAACCAACCCCGGGAUAAUAAAAUAAAAAAAGAUGGCGGCCCGCAAGCGGGGGUGUUAUCGGUGUCGCGAGCACCUUCCGGCCUGGCUUCGUGGCGGGACUUCAGAGAUGUUGUCUUCAUCGGUGGACAAGACAGAUGUGCAUGCUGUCGUCAGCUCGUGUCGUGAGAUGUAGGUAAGUCUGCAACGAGCGCAACCCACGCCGUAUGUGGCAGCGGGUAAAGCCGGGAACUCUUAGGGGACUGCCCGUGUCAAACGGGAGGAAGGUGUGGAUGACGUCAAGUCAUCAUGAUCUUACGGGUCGGGCUACAAACGUACUAGAAUGGUGGUAACAAUGGGUCGCAAUGUCGCAAGGCAAAGCCAAUCCUUAAAAACCAUCACAGUUCAGAUUGCCCUCUGCAACUCGAGGACAUGAAGUUGGAAUUGCUAGUAAUCGUUGAUCAGAAUGCAACGGUGAAUACGUUCCCGGGUCUUGUACACACCGCCUGUCAAACCAUGAGAGUCGAUUUCACCCAAAGUCGGUAGUCUAACGCAAGGGGACGCCGCCUACGGUGGGAUUGGUGAUUGGGGUUAAGUCAUAACAAGGUAGCAGUACCGGAAGGUGCGGCUGGAUCACCUCCGUUGUAAUCUAGAGC